rnacentral:rRNA from 1 species
CUACUUUCUAGUAUAGCAUUAUACAGCGAAACUGCGAAUGGCUCAUUAAAUCAGUUAUCGUUUAUUUGAUAGUACCUUACUACUUGGAUAACCGUGGUAAUUCUAGAGCUAAUACAUGCUAAAAACCCCGACUCACGAAGGGGUGUAUUUAUUAGAUUAAAAACCAAUGCCCUUCGGGGCUCUUUGGUGAUUCAUAAUAACUUUUCGAAUCGCAUGGCCUUGCGCCGGCGAUGGUUCAUUCAAAUUUCUGCCCUAUCAACUUUCGAUGGCAGGGUCUUGGCCUGCCAUGGUUACAACGGGUAACGGAGGGUUAGGGCUCGACCCCGGAGAAGGAGCCUGAGAAACGGCUACUACAUCCAAGGAAGGCAGCAGGCGCGCAAAUUACCCAAUCCCGAUUCGGGGAGGUAGUGACAAUAAAUACUGAUACAGGGCUCUUUUGGGUCUUGUAAUUGGAAUGAGUACAAUUUAAAUCCCUUAACGAGGAACAAUUGGAGGGCAAGUCUGGUGCCAGCAGCCGCGGUAAUUCCAGCUCCAAUAGCGUAUAUUAAAGUUGUUGCAGUUAAAAAGCUCGUAGUUGAACCUUGGGCCUGGCUGGCCGGUCCGCCUCACCGCGUGCACUGGUUCGGCCGGGCCUUUCCCUCUGGGGAACCUCAUGGUCUUCACUGAUCGUGAUGGGGAACCAGGACUUUUACUGUGAAAAAAUUAGAGUGUUCAAAGCAGGCCUAUGCUCGAAUACAUUAGCAUGGAAUAAUAAAAUAGGACGUGUGGUUCUAUUUUGUUGGUUUCUAGGACCGCCGUAAUGAUUAAUAGGGACAGUCGGGGGCAUCAGUAUUCAAUUGUCAGAGGUGAAAUUCUUGGAUUUAUUGAAGACUAACUACUGCGAAAGCAUUUGCCAAGGAUGUUUUCAUUAAUCAGGAACGAAAGUUAGGGGAUCGAAGACGAUCAGAUACCGUCGUAGUCUUAACCAUAAACUAUGCCGACUAGGGAUCGGACGGUGUACUUAUUGACCCGUUCGGACCUUACGAGAAUCAAAGUCUUUGGUUCUGGGGAAAUAUGUCCAAGUGAGG